rnacentral:tRNA from 1 species
GCUCCCUUAGCUCAAUCGGCAGAGCAAUUGACUCUUAAUCAAUGGGUUCUAGGUUCGAGUCCUAGAGGGAGCACC